GGAGAGAUGGCUGAGUGGACGAAAGCGGCUGCCUGCUAAGCAGUUGUGGGGGGUAACCUUCACCUCGGGUUCGAAUCCCGAUCUCUCCG
rnacentral:tRNA from 1 species